rnacentral:rRNA from 1 species
UACGAAGGGGGCUAGCGUUGUUCGGAUUUACUGGGCGUAAAGCGCGUGUAGGCGGCCUUGUAAGUUGGGGGUGAAAUCCCGAGGCUCAACCUCGGAACUGCCUCCAAAACUACAAGUCUGGAGCAAGAUAGAGGCAAGUGGAAUUGCGAGUGUAGAGGUGAAAUUCGUAGAUAUUCGCAGGAACACCAGGGGCGAAGGCGACUUGCUGGAGCUUUGCUGACGCUGAGACGCGAAAGCGUGGGGAGCAAACAGG